UACGUAGGUGACAAGCGUUGUCCGGAUUUACUGGGCGUAAAGGGCGCGUAGGCGGCGUGACAAGUCACUUGUGAAAUCUCCGGGCUUAACUCGGAACGGCCAAGUGAUACUGUCGUGCUAGAGUGCAGAAGGGGCAAUCGGAAUUCUUGGUGUAGCGGUGAAAUGCGUAGAUAUCAAGAGGAACACCUGAGGUGAAGACGGGUUGCUGGGCUGACACUGACGCUGAGGCGCGAAAGCUAGGGGAGCAAACGGG
rnacentral:rRNA from 1 species